rnacentral:rRNA from 1 species
UACGGAAGGCAGCAGUGGGGAAUAUUGCACAAUGGGCGCAAGCCUGAUGCAGCCAUGCCGCGUGUAUGAAGAAGGCCUUCGGGUUGUAAAGUACUUUCAGUCGUGAGGAAGGUGUUAAGGUUAAUAACCUUAGCAAUUGACGUUAGCGACAGAAGAAGCACCGGCUAACUCCGUGCCAGCAGCCGCGGUAAUACGGAGGGUGCGAGCGUUAAUCGGAAUUACUGGGCUAAAGGGCACGCAGGCGGUUAAUUAAGUUGGAUGUGAAAUCCCCGGGCUUAACCUGGGAAUGGCAUUCAAGACUGGUUAGCUAGAGUCUUGUAGAGGGGGUAGAAUUCCGAUGUGUAGCGGUGAAAUGCGUAGAGAUGUGGAGGAAUACCGGUGGCGAAGGCGGCCCCUGGGACAAGACUGACGCUCAUGUGCGAAAGCGUGGGGAGCAAACAGGAUUAGAUACC